CCCAUCCCGAACACGGAAGUUAAGCUCUCCAGCGCCGAUGGUAGUUGGGGCUAGCGCCCCUGCAAGAGUAGGACGUUGCUAGGC
rnacentral:rRNA from 1 species